rnacentral:rRNA from 1 species
CGGAAUUACUGGGCGUAAAGGGUGCGUAGGCGGUUCGUUAAGUCUGUCGGGAAAUCCCCGGGCUCAACCUGGGAAUGGCGAUGGAUACUGGCGAGCUAGAGUGUGUCAGAGGAUGGUGGAAUUCCCGGUGUAGCGGUGAAAUGCGUAGAGAUCGGGAGGAACAUCAGUGGCGAAGGCGGCCAUCUGGGACAACACUGACGCUGAAGCACGAAAGCGUGGGGAGCAAACAGG